AUUGAACGCUGGCGGAAUGCUUUACACAUGCAAGUCGAACGGCAGCACGGGGCAACCUGGUGGCGAGUGGCGAACGGGUGAGUAAUACAUCGGAACGUGCCCAAUCGUGGGGGAUAACGUAGCGAAAGUUACGCUAAUACCGCAUACGAUCUACGGAUGAAAGCGGGGGAUCGCAAGACCUCGCGCGAAUGGAGCGGCCGAUGUCAGAUUAGGUAGUUGGUGGGGUAAAGGCUCACCAAGCCGACGAUCUGUAGCUGGUCUGAGAGGACGACCAGCCACACUGGGACUGAGACACGGCCCAGACUCCUACGGGAGGCAGCAGUGGGGAAUUUUGGACAAUGGGCGCAAGCCUGAUCCAGCCAUUCCGCGUGCAGGAUGAAGGCCUUCGGGUU
rnacentral:rRNA from 1 species